GGGGCUGUAAUGGUUUCGACGGGUUAGUGAACACCACCGUGUGAUUCAGGCCGAGAGCGAUCUACCUCUCGUAAAUCAAUGGAUCAAAACAAAGUAAAUGCGAACAACAUCGUAUCCUUCUCACGUAAGCCCGCACUUGUUGCUGCUUAAACAAAAUCUCUAGUUAGAUUUCGUGAGACUUUUGGCGUGACUCCGUUAAUCGCAUAAAAGUUCAACCCCAACGGAUGCUUUUGCAGCGGGUCUCUAGUACCGCUGUGGACUAAGAACUCAUUAGAGAAGCCCACCAUCGGGGAUAAGUGAUGGUUCCUGUCUCGGGGGUUAACGAGACUAAGCCUGUGAAUGAGCUAAGUGCUAAUAACUAGUUCGGACAGCGGUUCGAUUCCGCUCAGCUCCAUUA
rnacentral:tmRNA from 1 species